rnacentral:rRNA from 1 species
CAGCAGCCGCGGUAAUACCAGCUCUUCAAGUGGUCGGGAAUAUUAUUGGGCUUAAAGUGUCCGUAGCCGGUUAGAACAGUUCCUGGUAAAAUCUGGCAGCUUAACUGUCAGGUCGCUAGGAAUACUAUCUUACUAGAGGGUGGGAAAGGUUUGGGGUACUCCAGGGGUAGCGGUGAAAUGCGAUAAUCCGUGGGGGACCACCAGUGGCGAAGGCGCCAGACUGGAACACGCCUGACGGUGAGGGACGAAAGCCAGGGGAGCGAACGGGAUUAGAUACCCCGGUAGUCCUGGCCGUAAACGAUGCGUGCUAGGUGUUGGUAGGGCUUUGAGCCGUAUCAGUGCCGUAGGGAAACUGUUAAGCGCGCCGCCUGGGAAGUACGCUCGCAAGAGUGAAACUUAAAGGAAUUGGCGGGGGAGCACCACAAGGGGUGAAGCCUGCGGUUCAAUUGGACUCAACGCCGGGAAACUUACCGGGGGCGACAGCAGAAUGAAGGUCAGGUUGACGACCUUACCAGACAAGCUGAGCGGAGGUGCAUGGCCGUCGCCAG